UUAAGCGACUAAGCGUACACGGUGGAUGCCCUGGCAGUCAGAGGCGAUGAAGGACGUGCUAAUCUGCGAUAAGCGCCGGUAAGGUGAUAUGAACCGUUAUAACCGGCGAUUUCCGAAUGGGGAAACCCAGUGUGAUUCGUCACACUAUCAUUAACUGAAUCCAUAGGUUAAUGAGGCGAACCGGGGGAACUGAAACAUCUAAGUACCCCGAGGAAAAGAAAUCAACCGAGAUUCCCCCAGUAGCGGCGAGCGAACGGGGAGGAGCCCAGAGCCUGAAUCAGCAUGUGUGUUAGUGGAAGCGUCUGGAAAGGCGCGCGAUACAGGGUGACAGCCCCGUACACAAAAGCGCAUGUGCUGUGAGCUCGAUGAGUAGGGCGGGACACGUGGUAUCCUGUCUGAAUAUGGGGGGACCAUCCUCCAAGGCUAAAUACUCCUGACUGACCGAUAGUGAACCAGUACCGUGAGGGAAAGGCGAAAAGAACCCCGGCGAGGGGAGUGAAAAAGAACCUGAAACCGUGUACGUACAAGCAGUGGGAGCACCCUUUUGGGUGUGACUGCGUACCUUUUGUAUAAUGGGUCAGCGACUUAUAUUCUGUAGCAAGGUUAACCGCAUAGGGGAGCCGGAGGGAAACCGAGUCUUAACCGGGCGUUAAGUUGCAGGGUAUAGACCCGAAACCCGGUGAUCUAGCCAUGGGCAGGUUGAAGGUUGGGUAACACUAACUGGAGGACCGAACCGACUAAUGUUGAAAAAUUAGCGGAUGACCUGUGGCUGGGGGUGAAAGGCCAAUCAAACCGGGAGAUAGCUGGUUCUCCCCGAAAGCUAUUUAGGUAGCGCCUCGUGAAUUCAUCUCCGGGGGUAGAGCACUGUUUCGGCUAGGGGGCCAUCCCGGCUUACCAACCCGAUGCAAACUGCGAAUACCGGAGAAUGUUAUCACGGGAGACACACGGCGGGUGCUAACGUCCGUCGUGAAGAGGGAAACAACCCAGACCGCCAGCUAAGGUCCCAAAGUCAUGGUUAAGUGGGAAACGAUGUGGGAAGGCCCAGACAGCCAGGAUGUUGGCUUAGAAGCAGCCAUCAUUUAAAGAAAGCGUAAUAGCUCACUGGUCGAGUCGGCCUGCGCGGAAGAUGUAACGGGGCUAAACCAUGCACCGAAGCUGCGGCAGCGACGCUUAUGCGUUGUUGGGUAGGGGAGCGUUCUGUAAGCCUGCGAAGGUGGCCUGUGAGGGUUGCUGGAGGUAUCAGAAGUGCGAAUGCUGACAUAAGUAACGAUAAAGCGGGUGAAAAGCCCGCUCGCCGGAAGACCAAGGGUUCCUGUCCAACGUUAAUCGGGGCAGGGUGAGUCGACCCCUAAGGCGAGGCCGAAAGGCGUAGUCGAUGGGAAACGGGUUAAUAUUCCCGUACUUGGUGUUACUGCGAAGGGGGGACGGAGAAGGCUAUGUUGGCCGGGCGACGGUUGUCCCGGUUUAAGCGUGUAGGUGUGUGUUCCAGGUAAAUCCGGUUCACUUUAACACUGAGGCGUGACGACGAGGCACUACGGUGCUGAAGCAACAAAUGCCCUGCUUCCAGGAAAAGCCUCUAAGCAUCAGGUAACAUCAAAUCGUACCCCAAACCGACACAGGUGGUCAGGUAGAGAAUACCAAGGCGCUUGAGAGAACUCGGGUGAAGGAACUAGGCAAAAUGGUGCCGUAACUUCGGGAGAAGGCACGCUGACACGUAGGUGAAGUGAUUUACUCACGGAGCUGAAGUCAGUCGAAGAUACCAGCUGGCUGCAACUGUUUAUUAAAAACACAGCACUGUGCAAACACGAAAGUGGACGUAUACGGUGUGACGCCUGCCCGGUGCCGGAAGGUUAAUUGAUGGGGUCAGCGCAAGCGAAGCUCCUGAUCGAAGCCCCGGUAAACGGCGGCCGUAACUAUAACGGUCCUAAGGUAGCGAAAUUCCUUGUCGGGUAAGUUCCGACCUGCACGAAUGGCGUAAUGAUGGCCAGGCUGUCUCCACCCGAGACUCAGUGAAAUUGAACUCGCUGUGAAGAUGCAGUGUACCCGCGGCAAGACGGAAAGACCCCGUGAACCUUUACUAUAGCUUGACACUGAACAUUGAGCCUUGAUGUGUAGGAUAGGUGGGAGGCUUUGAAGCGUGGACGCCAGUCUGCGUGGAGCCGACCUUGAAAUACCACCCUUUAAUGUUUGAUGUUCUAACGUGGACCCGUGAUCCGGGUUGCGGACAGUGUCUGGUGGGUAGUUUGACUGGGGCGGUCUCCUCCUAAAGAGUAACGGAGGAGCACGAAGGUUGGCUAAUCCUGGUCGGACAUCAGGAGGUUAGUGCAAUGGCAUAAGCCAGCUUGACUGCGAGCGUGACGGCGCGAGCAGGUGCGAAAGCAGGUCAUAGUGAUCCGGUGGUUCUGAAUGGAAGGGCCAUCGCUCAACGGAUAAAAGGUACUCCGGGGAUAACAGGCUGAUACCGCCCAAGAGUUCAUAUCGACGGCGGUGUUUGGCACCUCGAUGUCGGCUCAUCACAUCCUGGGGCUGAAGUAGGUCCCAAGGGUAUGGCUGUUCGCCAUUUAAAGUGGUACGCGAGCUGGGUUUAGAACGUCGUGAGACAGUUCGGUCCCUAUCUGCCGUGGGCGCUGGAGAACUGAGGGGGGCUGCUCCUAGUACGAGAGGACCGGAGUGGACGCAUCACUGGUGUUCGGGUUGUCAUGCCAAUGGCACUGCCCGGUAGCUAAAUGCGGAAGAGAUAAGUGCUGAAAGCAUCUAAGCACGAAACUUGCCCCGAGAUGAGUUCUCCCUGAGACUUAGAGUCUCCUGAAGGAACGUUGAAGACGACGACGUUGAUAGGCCGGGUGUGUAAGCGCAGCGAUGCGUUGAGCUAACCGGUACUAAUGAACCGUGAGGCUUAACCUU
rnacentral:rRNA from 1 species